UAAAAAAGAGAAAGAAGAAAAAAAUGAAAAGAAAAAUACCAAUAAAAUAAAGGAAAAUGUGGAGAUAAAUCUAGAAAUUCAUGGAGAAAUUGUUAGUGAAGAUGACUGUCCAAUUAACAAUCAAAAGAAAAAAGGUAAUAAGCAUAAAUGGGUACCACUUCAUUUAGAUGAUAUGAAGCCAGAUAACCAAGAAAGGCCAGGAUCUCAGAACAGUUCAAGGUCCCAGCCAGAAACCAGCAAGCUUGUGCCUCACAACAACAGACGCAAUGAGGCAAGAACUAGCUGGCGAAGGGAUCGGGAAAAGCGAGAAGAUCAUGAUGAAGUUUCGAGUGUGAGAAGUGAAGGUGGCAGCGUUAGAGGAUUUUACAGAGGACGAGGGAGAGGCAGGGGAAGAGGAAGAGGACGUGGAAGAGGAAAUCCUCGAAGUAUGGAAAUAGAAAAUUAUUAAGAAAGAAUGGUAUUGAACAUACUAAAUUGCAAAACUAGCCAUAGUUACAUGGGUUGCUUAUAACGUAAUGCCAACUCAUGGCUUGUUAUAUGAAUUAGUUUUAAAAACUGUAAAAAUAAAUAACAAAUUGAAAUGGGCUUAGGGUUUUACAAUACAA